UAUGGUGUAGUGGUUAGCACUCUGGACUUCGAAUCCAACGACCUGGGUUCAACUCCCAAUA
rnacentral:tRNA from 1 species